rnacentral:rRNA from 1 species
GAUCCUGGCUCAGGACGAACGCUGGCGGCGUGCUUAACACAUGCAAGUCGAACGAAGAGCGAUGGAAGCUUGCUUCUAUCAAUCUUAGUGGCGAACGGGUGAGUAACGCGUAAUCAACCUGCCCUUCAGAGGGGGGACAACAGUUGGAAACGACUGCUAAUACCGCAUACGAUCUAAUCUCGGCAUCGAGGAUAGAUGAAAGGUGGCCUCUAUUUAUAAGCUAUCACUGAAGGAGGGG